UACGUAGGGGGCGAGCGUUGUCCGGAGUUACUGGGCGUAAAGGGCGCGCAGGCGGUCUGGCAAGUUUGGAGUGACAGUGCUCGGCUUAACUGAGCAAGGCCUUCGAAAACUGCUAGACUUGAGCACUCAAGAGGGACAUAGAAUUCCGGGUGGAGUGGUGGAAAUGCGUAGAUAUCCGGAGGAAUACCAAAGGCGAGGACAGUG
rnacentral:rRNA from 1 species